AAAGUACUCCCUCCGUCCCAAAAUUCUUGUCUUAGAUUUCUCUAGAUACGGAUGUAUCAAGUCACAUUUUAGUAUUAGAUACAUCUGUAUCUAGACAAAUCUAAGACAAGAAAUUUGGGAUAGAGGGAGUAGUUG
rnacentral:pre_miRNA from 1 species